rnacentral:tRNA from 1 species
UAUAUUUAAGUGUUUGGUGCAUGGGAAAUUUUGAUUUUCUCGGGCAUGGUUUAAUUCCAUGAAAUAUAA